rnacentral:rRNA from 1 species
GAAGGGGCUAGCGUUGCUCGGAAUGACUGGGCGUAAAGGGCGCGUAGGCUGAUGGCAUCGUCAGACGUGAAAUUCCCGGGCUUAACCUGGGGGCUGCGUUUGAUACAUGUCGUCUUGAGUGAGGAAGAGGGUCGUGGAAUUCCCAGUGUAGAGGUGAAAUUCGUAGAUAUUGGGAAGAACACCGGUGGCGAAGGCGGCGACCUGGUCCUUUACUGACGCUGAGGCGCGAAAGCGUGGGGAGCAAACAGGAUUAGAUACCCUGGUAGUCCACGCUGUAAACGAUGUGUGCUGGAUGUUGGGCGGCUUAGCCGCUCAGUGUCGUAGCUAACGCGGUAAGCACACCGCCUGGGGAGUACGGCCGCAAGGUUGAAACUCAAAGG